rnacentral:rRNA from 1 species
GAUGAACGCUGGCGGCGUGCCUAAUACAUGCAAGUCGAGCGAACAGACGAGGAGCUUGCUCCUCUGACGUUAACGGCGGACGGGUGAGUAACACGUGGAUAACCUACCUAUAAGACUGGGAUAACUUCGUGAAACCGGAGCUAAUACCGGGUAAUAUAUUGAACCGCAUGGUUCAAUAGUGAAAGACGGUUUUGCUGUCACUUAUAGAUGGAUCCGCGCCGCAUUAGCUAGUUGGUAAGGUAACGGCUUACCAAGGCAAUGAUGCGUAGCCGACCUGAGAGGGUGAUCGGCCACACUGGAUCUGAGACACGGUCCAGACUCCUACGGGAGGCAGCAGUAGGGAAUCUUCCGCAAGGGGCGAAAGCCUGACGGAGCAACGCCGCGUGAGUGAUGAAGGUCUUAGGAUCGUAAAACUCUGUUAUUAGGAAAGAACAAAUGUGUAAGUAACUAUGCACGUCUUGACGGUACCUAAUCAGAAAGCCACGGCUAACUACGUG